CCCGCUGAACUUAAGCAUAUCAAUAAGCGGAGGAAAAGAAACCAACAGGGAUUGCCCCAGUAACGGCGAGUGAAGCGGCAACAGCUCAGAUUUGGAAUCCGGCCCCCCCACCCGGGGGCUCGAGUUGUAAUCUGCAGAUGGGCCUUCCGGCGACGCGCCGUCCAGGUUCCCUGGGAGGGGACGCCAGAGAGGGUGAGAGCCCCGUACGGACGAGUGCCGAGCCUCGGUGAAGCCCAUUCGACGAGUCGAGUAGUUUGGGAAUGCUGCUCUAAGCGGGAGGUAAAUCUCUUCUAAAGCUAAAUACCGGCCGGAGACCGAUAGCGCACAAGUAGAGUGAUCGAAAGAUGAAAAGAACCUUGGAAAGGGGGUUAAACAGCAUGUGAAAUUGUUGAAAGGGAAGCGCACGCGACCAGACUCGCGCCGGUUGAUCACCCAGCGUUCUCGCUGGUGCAUUCUGCCGGCCCGGGCCAGCAUCGGUUCGCCUCGGGGGAUAAAGGCCCUGGGAACGUAGCUCUUCGGAGUGUUAUAGCCCUCUGCGCAAUGCCCCGUGGCGGACCGAGGUUUCCGCGCGUCCUCGCAAGGAUGCUGGCGUAAUGGUCGUCUGCGACCCGUCUUGAAACACGG
rnacentral:rRNA from 1 species